rnacentral:rRNA from 2 species
GUUGUAUAGUCAAGUAAUUAAGUGCAUGUGGUGGAUGCCUUGGCAGUCAGAGGCGAUGAAAGACGUGAUAGCCUGCGAAAAGCUCCGGGGAGGCGGCAAAUAUCCUUUGAUCCGGAGAUGUCUGAAUGGGGGAACCCACCUACUUUAAGGUAGGUAUUGCAACAUGAAUACAUAGUGUUGCAAGGCGAACGAGGGGAAGUGAAACAUCUCAGUACCCUUAGGAAAAGAAAUCAAUUGAGAUUCCCUCAGUAGCGGCGAGCGAACGGGGAUCAGCCCAUUAAGUUAUGUGUGUUUUAGUGGAACGCUCUGGGAAGUGCGAACGUAGAGGGUGAUAUUCCCGUACACGAAAGGGCACACAUAAUGAUGACGAGUAGGGCGAGGCACGUGAAACCUUGUCUGAAUAUGGGGGGACCAUCCUCCAAGGCUAAAUACUCCUGACUGACCGAUAGUGAACCAGUACCGUGAGGGAAAGGCGAAAAGAACCCCUGUGAGGGGAGUGAAAUAGAUCCUGAAACCGCAUGCAUACAAGCAGUGGGAGCACCUUCGUGGUGUGACUGCGUACCUUUUGUAUAAUGGGUCAGCGACUUAUAUUCAGUAGCAAGGUUAACCGUAUAGGGGAGCCGUAGAGAAAUCGAGUCUUAAUAGGGCGUUUAGUUGCUGGGUAUAGACCCGAAACCAGGCGAUCUAUCCAUGAGCAGGUUGAAGGUUGGGUAACACUAACUGGAGGACCGAACCCACUGUCGUUGAAAAGCCAGGGGAUGACUUGUGGAUAGGGGUGAAAGGCUAAUCAAGCCUGGUGAUAGCUGGUUCUCCCCGAAAGCUAUUUAGGUAGCGCCUCGGACGAAUACCAUAGGGGGUAGAGCACUGUUUCGGCUAGGGGGUCAUCCCGACUUACCAAACCGAUGCAAACUCCGAAUACCUAUGAGUACUAUCCGGGAGACAGACUGCGGGUGCUAACGUCCGUAGUCAAGAGGAAAACAAUCCAGACCGCCAGCUAAGGCCCCAAAAUCAUAGUUAAGUGGGAAACGAUGUGGGAAGGCAUAGACAGCUAGGAGGUUGGCUUAGAAGCAGCCACCCUUUAAAGAAAGCGUAAUAGCUCACUAGUCGAGUCGGCCUGCGCGGAAGAUGUAACGGGGCUAAAACUAUGUGCCGAAGCUGCGGAUNNNNNNNNNNNNNNNNNNNNNNNNNNNNNNNNNNNNNNNNNNNNNAUGCUGGAGGUAUCAGAAGUGCGAAUGCUGACGUGAGUAACGACAAAACGGGUGAAAAACCCGUUCGCCGAAAGACCAAGGGUUCCAGUCCAACGUUAAUCGGGGCUGGGUGAGUCGACCCCUAAGGCGAGGCCGAAAGGCGUAGUCGAUGGGAAAAUGGUUAAUAUUCCAUUACUUCUGUGUAAUGCGAUGAGAGGACGGAGAAGGCUAAAUCAGCCUGGCGUUGGUUGUCCAGGUGAAAGGAUGUAGGCAUGUAUCUUAGGCAAAUCCGGGGUACUCUAUGCUGAGAUCUGAUAGCAAGCUGUACUUGUACAGCGAAGUGGUUGAUGCCAUGCUUCCAGGAAAAGUCUCUAAGCUUCAGUUACACAGGAAUCGUACCCGAAACCGACACAGGUGGUCAGGUCGAGUAGACCAAGGCGCUUGAGAGAACUCUGCUGAAGGAACUAGGCAAAAUGGUACCGUAACUUCGGGAGAAGGUACGCUGUUGUUGGUGAUGGAACUCGCUUCCUGAGCUGACGACAGCCGCAGAAACCAGGCCGCUGCAACUGUUUAUUAAAAACAUAGCACUCUGCAAACACGAAAGUGGACGUAUAGGGUGUGAUGCCUGCCCGGUGCUGGAAGGUUAAUUGAUGGGGUUAGCGUAAGCGAAGCUCUUGAUCGAAGCCCCAGUAAACGGCGGCCGUAACUAUAACGGUCCUAAGGUAGCGAAAUUCCUUGUCGGGUAAGUUCCGACCUGCACGAAUGGCAUAAUGAUGGCGGCGCUGUCUCCAGCAGAGGCUCAGUGAAAUCGAAAUCGCUGUGAAGAUGCAGUGUACCCGCGGCUAGACGGAAAGACCCCGUGAACCUUUACUGCAGCUUGACACUGAACUUUGACCUUACUUGUGUAGGAUAGGUGGGAGGCUUUGAAGCUGGAACGCUAGUUCCAGUGGAGCCGUCCUUGAAAUACCACCCUGGUAAUGUUGAGGUUCUAACUCUGUCCCGUGAUCCGGGACGAGGACCGUGUCUGGUGGGUAGUUUGACUGGGGCGGUCUCCUCCUAAAGAGUAACGGAGGAGUACGAAGGUGCGCUCAGCGUGGUCGGAAAUCACGCGUAGAGUAUAAAGGCAAAAGCGCGCUUAACUGCGAGACCCACAAGUCGAGCAGGUACGAAAGUAGGUCUUAGUGAUCCGGUGGUUCUGUAUGGAAGGGCCAUCGCUCAACGGAUAAAAGGUACUCUGGGGAUAACAGGCUGAUACCGCCCAAGAGUUCAUAUCGACGGCGGUGUUUGGCACCUCGAUGUCGGCUCAUCUCAUCCUGGGGCUGAAGCAGGUCCCAAGGGUAUGGCUGUUCGCCAUUUAAAGAGGUACGCGAGCUGGGUUUAGAACGUCGUGAGACAGUUCGGUCCCUAUCUACCGUGGGCGCUGGAAAUUUGAGAGGAUCUGCUCCUAGUACGAGAGGACCAGAGUGGACGAACCUCUGGUGUACCGGUUGUGACGCCAGUCGCAUCGCCGGGUAGCUAUGUUCGGAAGGGAUAACCGCUGAAAGCAUCUAAGCGGGAAGCCUACCUCAAGAUAAGAUUUCCCUAGGACUUUAUGUCCUCUAAAGAGCCGUUCGAGACUAGGACGUUGAUAGGUUGGAUGUGGAAGCAUAGUGAUAUGUGAAGCUGACCAAUACUAAUUGCUCGUGAGGCUUGACUAUACAACACCCAAGCAGUUG